GACCCCAGGUCAGGCGGGACUACCCGCUGAAUUUAAGCAUA
rnacentral:rRNA from 1 species